AUGUCCGGCGGCGGAAGAGGAGGAGGGGAGGAGGAGGAGGUGGUGCACAUGGAGGACGCGGUGAACAUGCUCGUGGAGCACCUCGUGAAGCCCGUGCUGCCGCGGGGCGCGAUCUUUGGCGCCGCCCAGGGGGAGCGCCACAUGGAGCCGGACAAACAGCGCGCCGUCGCGCAGCAGAUUCACACGGCCAUCAUCUUGUACAACUACUACCACAGGAAGAUGUCGCCGCAGCUUGCAUUUGCAGAUCCCAAACGGUUUUUUGUGUGUGCUUCUCUUUCUGCUGGAGAGGAUCUGCUUGCGUACUUGAGUAUGGUUCAUGAGCGUGAGAGCAAUCCUGGCAAGCAUGUGAGGCUAUCUGUUACUGACAGAGCAGCGAUACAGGCAUGUGAGAUCGCUGAAGAACUCGACGCGAGCAAAGAUUCUCCAGACAUGGCAAUGUGGCCAAUAUCAAAAGUUGCUGUGCUUCUUCUUGAUUUGACAAGAAAAAAAUGUUUGAUUGAGUAUAGUGCUAAUACCAAGGGUAUCUGGUCAAUCAUAGAGAAGGAAAUAGAUGCAACAGCUGGUAAUUCACACAGUACCAACCAGCCAGCAGGCCAGGAAUCAACAGGUAAAGGAAACGUGGGUGCUCUGAAUACACCAUAUAUGCUUCGUCAACAAGCCUAUUCGGAGGUGGAACGUAGAACAGGUAUGAAGGGCUCAAACUUGCGUCUUCUCGAUGAAACUUUGGCAUACUCGUUGAGUAAAGAAAGGACGACUACCAAGUUAUUUAUUGUGGAGUAUGAGCAAACCAUGGAAGGCAACCUUGUAGAAAUGUGUCUAGAAGAGUUGAUUAGCAGUAUGACUGGUCCGCUAUUUGCAAAUGAUCCAUUUCCAAAAACAACAUCUGUAGUUGAGUAUUAUCACAUUCUUCCGUAUAAGGAGAUUUUGUUUGAACUCCUCCACAGGAAAUGGCCUUCUGAUUCUCCACUGAACGAACAAUCACAUCGACAUGGAAAAGGUUCAUUGCACUCUGUAAUAGAUGAAAAUGUGGAAGAGCAAGAUGUGAAUAGCACGUCUAAGAUGCAAAAACGAAUUACAAAAGUGUCAACUCCAAAGCAAAGCAAACAAGCAAUUGCUGCCAAUAGCAACCAGGACUACAGGACCAGCAAGCACAAGAGAAACAGCAAAAGAAAAUCUGAAGCCUCCAGGGCUGAUGUCUGUGCAGAGGGUCCAGAUGCUGAGAUCCACAGAAUAGAAAAUGGUCCACCUCCUGUUAUUAUUGAUUUGGAAACUUCAAAACCUCUGACUAAGUCAAGAAAUACAAAAGCUGCUGCAGCAGCAAGUCGAGAAACUAAAAUCCUACAAGCCGUGGAUAAGAACAAAACACAGAAGCAGUCUAGACGUGACAAUGUGCCCCAAGAUGUCUUUACUGCAGAGGCACCACAUGUUGAUCUAAUGAAGAACCGUGCUUUGGAACAUCAAAAUAUGGAUGUGUCAGAAAAGUCAGGUGGCACCACUGAGUACACCAAUGACCAGAUAUAUGAUUCGCUGCAAUCAAUUCAGAAAAUACGGGAUGAGAUUCUUCGCAAGGAAUGCAUACUUCAAGAACGAAGUGCUCAGUGUGAUAUGGACAUUCAGACAAUCUUGAGCGAAGGGAAGAUGACACCAAAAACUGCAUCAAUAAUACACAAAUACAAGGAAACUUGCUCAGAUAUGAUGGAUGUUGCCAAUUCAUCUUGCUCUGGAGAUGGUGGCCAAUCCAUCACUCAGAGGAAGGGAUUGAGGGAGGCACUCCUCCGACACAAUUCAUGCGAGGAGCUUGAUGAGAUCUGCCGUGGGGGCAAUUGGAUAUUCCCAAGAUACACAGUAGUACCUUCAGUAUCAGAUGGAAUGUUCCACGCCAGUGUACGUUUGACAUGCCCCGAGUUUGAGAUGAGCAUCACUGGUGGCCCUCGUCUGACCGCACACGAGGCAAGGUGCUCAGCAGCUGCCAAUAUGAUACUGGAGCUUCACAAGAAGGCGGAGGAGGAAGAACAGUAG
rnacentral:rRNA from 1 species